rnacentral:rRNA from 1 species
UACGGGGGGGGCAAGCGUUGUUCGGAAUUACUGGGCGUAAAGGGCUCGUAGGCGGCCAACUCAGUCGGACGUGAAAUCCCUCGGCUUAACCGGGGAACGGCGUCCGAUACUGGAUGGCUUGAAUCCGAGAGAGGGAUGCGGAAUUCCCAGUGUAGCGGUGAAAUGCGUAGAUAUUGGGAAGAACACCUGAGGCGAAGGCGGGUUGCUGGGCUGAUACUGACGCUGAGGCGCGAAAGCCAGGGGAGCAAACGGG